UCCAGACUCCUACGGGAGGCAGCAGUGGGGGAUAUUGGACAAUGGGGGAAACCCUGAUCCAGCGACGCCGCGUGAGUGAAGAAGUAUUUCGGUAUGUAAAGCUCUAUCAGCAGGGAAGAAAGAAAUGACGGUACCUGAGUAAGAAGCCCCGGCUAACUACGUGCCAGCAGCCGCGGUAAUACGUAGGGGGCAAGCGUUAUCCGGAAUUACUGGGUGUAAAGGGAGCGUAGACGGUUAAGCAAGUCUGGAGUGAAAGGCGGGGGCCCAACCCCCGGACUGCUCUGGAAACUGUCCGGCUGGAGUGCAGGAGAGGUAAGUGGAAUUCCUAGUGUAGCGGUGAAAUGCGUAGAUAUUAGGAGGAACACCAGUGGCGAAGGCGGCUUACUGGACUGUAACUGACGUUGAGGCUCGAAAGCGUGGGGAGCAAACAGGAUUAGAUACCCGCGUA
rnacentral:rRNA from 1 species